rnacentral:lncRNA from 1 species
AAUUAUAAAAUUAUGGAGAGUGUCAAGUACUAGUGUAGGGUGACAAAUUAAAAUCUCUAACUAUUGGCAAGGAGUCCGAAGGCCGAGACCCAAAUUAACAAAGUGGUUGAAGAAGAUAUAUAAAAGAAAACCUUUUCCCUCACAAUUUCUUUAUUGACACAUCAUUAACAACACCAAUAGAGUCUAUUUCGCGCUUGAGUCGAAUUUCCAUUUUCUUUCGGAAGAAUGUCAUCACCAGCAAGAGCACGAUGACCCACGUUUCAGCUUUCCCAAUCACAUUGCCGUUUUUGUUGUAAGAACUUUUUGCGAUUCUGUUAUUAUGUGAACACUUAAGCCAUCUUCGAUUCCGCUGAUUCUUUUCACUUAGGCCUCAUUCUUGCCAUUUCUUUUAUUGUUUCCAUUUCUUUUAUUGUGUGAUUUUCAAUUCAAUAACACUUGUGCCAUUUUCUUGCUAUCUUGCUCUUGUUAGUGGUGGUUUUUUCUUGCUAUAUUUUUGGUUUUAAGCAAUUCUAUUGUGUUUUUUUUUCAAUUCAGUUUAUUCUUUCCAUUUUGUUUAUAAUAACUCAGUGUAAUUUUGUUCAAUUCAAGAAACUCUUACAAAUCUUAUUUUGUUUUGAAGCCUAGUGGUACCCUAUGUUCUUUCUAUUUGUUUC